CCCGGGCUCAAUUUCCUUGGAACAGGAGGUCAUGGAGGGUGAGAACCCCGUCUGUGGCUUGCUCCUCCGUGGUCCCAGUGACGUGCCCUCGAAGAGUCGGGUUGUUUGGGAAUGCAGCUCAAAAUGGGUGGUAAAUUUCAUCUAAAGCUAAAUAUUGGCGAGAGACCGAUAGCAAACAAGUAGAGUGAUCGAAAGAUGAAAAGUACUUUGAAAAGAGAGUGAAACAGUAUGUGAAAUUGUUGAAAGGGAAGCGUUUGGCAUCAGCCCUUGGCGGCCGUCGAACAUCGGGGCUCUGGCCCCGUGCACUCGACGGCCGUUGGGCCAGCGUCGGCUCUGCCCGCCGGAGAAAGGCCCUGGGGAAGUGGCUCCUCCGGGAGCGUUAUAACCCUGGGCGUCAUGCGGCUGGGCGGGGCCGAGGUCCGCGGAUCAAUCCUAGGACGCUGGCGUAAUGGUUCCAAGCGACCCGUCUUGAAACACGGACCAAGGAGUCUAACAUCUAUGCGAGUGUUUGGGUGUCAAGCCCGACCGCGCAAUGAAAGUGA
rnacentral:rRNA from 1 species